rnacentral:rRNA from 1 species
AGUGAACGCUGGCGGUAGGCCUAACACAUGCAAGUCGAACGGCAGCACAGUAAGAGCUUGCUCUUACGGGUGGCGAGUGGCGGACGGGUGAGGUAUACAUCGGAAUCUACUUUUUCGUGGGGGAUAACGUAGGGAAACUUACGCUAAUACCGCAUACGACCUACGGGUGAAAGCAGGGGAUCUUCGGACCUUGCGCGAUUGAAUGAGCCGAUGUCGGAUUAGCUAGUUGGCGGGGUAAAGGCCCACCAAGGCGACGAUCCGUAGCUGGUCUGAGAGGAUGAUCAGCCACACUGGAACUGAGACACGGUCCAGACUCCUACGGGAGGCAGCAGUGGGGAAUAUUGGACAAUGGGCGCAAGACUGAUCCAGCCAUACCGCGUGGGUGAAGAAGGCCUUCGGGUUGUAAAGCCCUUUUGUUGGGAAAGAAAAGCAGCAGGUUAAUACCCCGCUGUUCUGACGGUACCCAAAGAAUAAGCACCGGCUAACUUCGUG